rnacentral:lncRNA from 1 species
UGAAAAGGAUACUCCAGCCCUUACCCCAUGCAUCUCCAGCAGAGCACAAGGCAUUACGCUGGUCUGAUCCACAGGUCCUGGGUCCAGGCAUGGAGAGCUUGUUCCUUCUUUUUAAAAGAAAAAUAUGCAAACAGAUGAUCAUGAUUUUUAAGUUAAUCUGAUAGGUAAGAAUUGUACUUUUGAUCCCAGCAAUGCAGUAGACUAGACACUCUGAUGUUCCUUCCAACUAAUCCGCAUCCAGAGACUGC